CGCCAGCUUCCUUUUCACCGCAAAGAUGAGGAUGACUCGAAAGACUAAAAAAUACGCAAGGGUGGAGUCCGAAUAGACUCGAGUUGAUGUCAUAUGUAACAAAAGAAAGGGAGAAAAUUAGUAGAAUAACCUGAAAAUAAAAGAAGAAACAAUUGAGCACCAUUUACAACAAAAUAUUGAACUUAACUUAAAUGAUCCUUAACUAACCAACUAGGAGAUAGAAACUACAAAUAUGAUCAAUUUUGAAAAGCUACAAACAAAUGAAAACAAGUCACAUAACUCCUUGAGGACCCACAAAUGACAAGUUAAUAAGAAAGAUAAUCACACUUAAAGAAUUCAUCAAAUUCAAUUAUCAAAGGACAUGCUACAGGGAAUACUAUGCUACUGUUUUCAGAUUUUACAAAGUUACUCUUUCUACUAAAAGAGAUGCCACAACUACUCUUCUCAAAGAAAAUGAAACUCUAGAUAUUGUAUUAAAUCAUGAUCAUUUUUAUCAUUUUUGGAAUAAAAUCUAAACCCAUUGUAUUGCAUCGGUUUACGAAAAUUGAGGAAAGGUUGUAUUCAUAUCCAAGUAAACAAAGGAACGGUAUUACUCCUAAUGGUUACUGAGGCAAACUAUGAGAAAAUCAUGAUAAAUGAAUGACUAUACAUUCAUACUUCAUAUAUUCACAAGCUACCGGAAUACUGAAAAAUUAAUGAGCACAAAUGCUAGGAUUGAUAAGAGUUCAUACGACCAAAUAACAUAAACCGAAACUCAAAGCAAUUUUUAUUACAUUAGCUAAAAUUUGUUUAAAAGAUACCAAGCAAAAGGCUAAAGCUAAACAAUACACAACAAGGACUAAAGCCAAACCGUCCCCAACAAAACAUGUCGAAACACCCAGAUUAUGAUUUUCAUGCUUGAGCUCAAUCAAAGAACCUAAUGGGUUAUCCAAAAGCUGGACCUAGAUUUUAAAAUAGAAGCUGUCAUGUUGAACAUGGACGGGCAGAACCUUAUACGAGCAUGAAAAUUGGACGAAACUAUGGAUCCACGACACACCUCAAUCUGAACUCUUUGCAGCGAACAACCAGUAACUCAAAUUGACAAUAGUAUGAACAAGAACUAUAGCGUACUUGAUCAACACAACUAUCCAACAGAAUGUUCAAGCAAGGUAAUAAAAAAUAUUGGCCAGCCGGCCCAAAGUAAAAACUCGACUCAAGAGUCCAACAACUUCAUUUAGUAUCAAGAUAAAAUCACAACGAGCAAUCGAUUCAAACAACCCAUAACGAUCCAAUUAUAAGGUAAGAAACUAAGCCACGAAAUAAGAAUGGAAACAAAUUACCUUCUUCAGAGCAGCGAAUGGGACGAAUCAGCUUGAAGGAGCUUUCCAACCACCACACGAGCAGGGGCGGACCCACGUUGGUUCCAGGGGGUUCACCCGAACCCCCUCGGCAAAAAAUUACACUAUAUAUAUAAGGUAAUUUUCUGUAUUUAUGUGAAUAUAUAUAUAUAUUUUGAACCCCCUCAAUGACAAGGAGAAAGAGAUAGCCUAGUGGCAUUUUCCCUGAAAAUUAAGCCUCAUGUUGAGGGUUCGAAUCCCUGCAUUAGCGUUUUAUUUUUUUCUUUAUCAGUUUCAGUUUUUUUUUUUUUUUUUUUUUUAAGGUUUCAGUUCCGUUUUCACGUUUUUUUUAGUUUUUUAUUUUAUAAAACAUGCUAAAAGUGUGGUUUUAAACCCAAAAAAAUUCAAAGGUCCACCACUAAAACUAAAUACUACUACUUUCUUGAAAUUUUGUUUUGUUGGCUUAUAUAUACACAUUUAUACUUUUAUUUUUCAAACCCCUUGAACGAAAAUUCUGGGUCCGCCACUGCACACGAGGGAUUCCAGUGGAAAUCCAAGUUCCGAAACAGCAAACUAGCUAUAAAUCCAAUCUCCAAAAACCCUCUCUAACACUUGACUGUAAAUGGCUAUUUAUAGGGAAGAUUGGGCAGAUUUAGAGGGGAAAACGGGAGGGAUUUUUGGAAUUUGAAAUUCGAAAUUCAAAUUCUCUUAUGAGAUAAGGUUGCCAGCUCAAUUGUACCAAUUCAAACGGUAAGAAAAUCGCAGCCGUUUCAUCUAGAGAGGAAGGAUGAACGAGCUACAAGAUUGUAACACCUGGAAAAAUCGAGUACAAGCGGAUAAGGGAGAGAGAGAGAGAGGACUACACGCACUGCUCGCUGGACUCGGACACGCUGGAUUUCUGAUUUCUGCUGGAGUUUGCGUGAAGAAGAAGAAGCGUUGUACCGGGUCGUCUGGUUUUGUUCUGUACGCGUCUGGUUGUAUUGAACUGAUGGGUUUUUGGUAUUGAUUUGGGUUGCUGAAUGUAUUGUUAAUUUU
rnacentral:lncRNA from 1 species